UCCACCACCACCACUGCAAGCCGCUGCUCAAUGGCCUCCAUUUCAUUUUCCGGCGAAUCCCUCAUCUCUCUGCUAACUCUUUUCUCUCUCCUUUUUCUCACCCACGCCACCCUCCAUCUCCACCCCUCCGAUUAUGACGCCCUCCUCCUCAUCCAAAAACACUUGGGCAUCAACGGUCAACGCCGCUCCUCCCCCAACCCAUGCAACACCCCCGGAGUAUUUUGCGAGAGGAGAGUCUCUGACAACGCCACAGUGCUCAGAGUCACCCGUCUGGUUUUCAAAUCCCAACGUCUCUCAGGUUUCCUAUCUCCCCAAAUCGGACGCCUCUCCCAGCUCAAAGAGCUCUC
rnacentral:lncRNA from 1 species